rnacentral:ncRNA from 1 species
GGGCUUACAGUGGAUACCUAGGCACCCAGAGACGAGGAAGGGUGUGAUAAGUGAUGAAAUGCUUCGGGGAGUUGAAAAUGAGCAUAGAUCCGAAGAUUCCCGAAUAGGUUAACCUUUUUAAAUGCUUCUUAAUCCAUGGGCAGGCAAGAGACAACUUGGCAAACUGAAACAUCUUAGUAGCCAGAGGAAUAGAAAGCAAAAUUGAUUCCUAUAGUAGCGAUGAGCGAAAUGGGAGCAGCCUAAACCGUCAAAAUGGGGUUGUGGGAGAGCACAAUAUAAGCUUUGUGAUGUUAGGUGAAGUGGUUGAGUCAUGCACCCUAGAUGGUGAGAGUCCAGUAGCCAAAAUCAUCAUUGGGUUACGCUCUAACUCGAGUAGCAUGGAGCACAUGGAAUCCCAUGUGAAUCAGCAAGGACCACCUUGCAAGGCUAAAUACUCCUAGGUGACCAAUAAAGAAGUAGUACCAUGAGGGAAAGGCGGAAAGAACCCCCAUCGGGGAGUGAAAUAGAACAUGAAACUAUAAUCUC